AUACAGAGGGUGCGAGCGUUAAUCGGAAUUACUGGGCGUAAAGCGCGCGUAGGCGGCUACUUAAGUCAGAUGUGAAAUCCCCGGGCUCAACCUGGGAACUGCAUCUGAUACUGGGUAGCUAGAGUUUAGGAGAGGGAAGUAGAAUUUCAGGUGUAGCGGUGAAAUGCAUAGAGAUCUGAAGGAAUACCAGUGGCGAAGGCGGCUUCCUGGCCUAAAACUGACGCUGAGGUGCGAAAGCGUGGGUAGCAAACGGGAUUAGAUACCCCGGUAGUCC
rnacentral:rRNA from 1 species